rnacentral:lncRNA from 1 species
UAUAAUUAAAAAGAUGGGUUGAGAAGGAGAAACAUUUAUGAUAUACCAAGUCCCAAGGGAGAAUUUCACUAAAUCUUUAAGGCAUGUUACAAACCCUUUAAGUUUCACAGUUCUUUGUCGAAGUCCCAAGGGAGAAUUUCGCUAAAUCUUGUAAUAAAUUACAAGUUUCUAUCAAGUGGUAUUGGAGCUGUGGGUAGUGCAUAUUGAAGCAUUCAUGAGCUGUCCGGGAUUCAGCUCGGAAAUCCAAGACUUCUAAUUUCUGUGGGUAGUGCAAUCGAUAACACUAAUAGGCUCACAAAAUAAAUUCCUUAAACAGCCAUCUUCAACAGAAAUUAGAAGCUUAUCCAUCCACAAGCAUCCAAGACUGGGAUUCCAAGAUGAGGAUUCCUAGACUGUGGGUAGCUUACAAGUUCCUCUCGCUUAGCUUAUUGUAAAUAAGUGAGGAUUUAUGCUAAUACUAUUAU